UCGUUUUGGGAGCUAGGGAAAACUGGGUUUUGGCUAUUGGUGUUGUUGGAUUUGGCCCAUUAAGUGCAGAUAAUGAGUCCUUGGGACUUGAAGAGCAGGAACAAGAUGAAUCUGAGUUAUUGGGUGUUCAUCUGAGGAGAAAACAGGGAAGGGUAGGAGACUUGGAAAGGGAGGAUUUCAAACAUCUGCUCUUCUUUUCAAGUCAUUCUUUUGCAUAUACCAACAGAGAAUAAUAUGAUAGAGGUAUACCAAAAACUUAUUACUACCCAUACUCAUGGACAACGGUUAGUAUCUUCCCACUUUCGUUAGGCCUCUGUUUUAUUGAUCUUCAUUUUGUUACAAAAUUGAUAUCUGUAGCAAUUUUCCAGACUGCAAGCAUAUUAUUGUUUAUAGAUGCACCUGUUGCCACUGGUUUCUUCUAUGCAAUUGAUGCAAAAGAAUAUGCUACCACCGAUACAGAAAGAACAUCACAGGAGAGGCUGACAUUUGGUCCAUGUCCAUGUAGUUCUUCCUUUCCUUCAUGGACUUUUGUUCGACGCCAAGUUGUUGAAUGAUGCAAUUGAACUCUUGGAAUAUGUUGUUGUGAUGAGGGAAGAAAAGCUAGGGACAGCUAACCCUGAGGUGGAUGAUGAGAAAAGAAGGUUGGCUGACUUAUUGAAAGCAACAGGCAGACUUCGGAACAGAAAAGCCAGAUCACUAGAGAACCUCCUUGAGGCCAACUCUCAUGGUAUAAACAAUGAUCGAAUUAAGGUAUGAUAAGAAUGGCUAUCUGUUCAGGAACGAAAUUUAGCUGGCUGCCUUGAAUGGAUCGGUUCUCGACAGUAGCAAAUAGAAGCAUUGAUGAAAUCAAAUUCACUUGGAAUAGAAUACUCAAAGCAGAAGCUACAAGCUAAGCCAACAAACACUGCAAAUAUUACUGAGUUUUCAGUUGGGAUUAUUGGAAUUUGAUACUCGAAAGCCUCGGUAUGCACCGCGCUGAAAAUGGCACAACCAGGUUUUUGUUAAGUGUAAUUCCAAAUUUCACAAAGUGAAGACAUAGGAACAAUGAAGUUCAAGUUGCUGGUGAGCUUAAACUCAAGGGUUGUAGCUUGAAUCCUUUUUCAUUUGAAGAAACCCAACAUGUUGAUUUACUUCUUAUUUCUUGAUAACAACACAUUAUACACUUUAUCGCCAAUAUAUU